CAUAACCCGCGCACGCUUUUUUCAUUUUUUUUCUUCGCCUCAAUGCCUCCUGACGCCCUAGCUUCAAGUCGUGCCCUCCGUCUCUCGUCUCUCCCGCUUCUUCGGUUCAUUUAACCCCAUAGAAGCCAAGCUCCCAGGUCCGAGCCAUCCAACCCUCUUACACGCCAUAGCCGUGCAAAGACCCCGCCUAGGUCCGGGGCUCUCUCACGCAACUGCAGUCGACUCCUUGUUUGCAUCAUAUUAGUUGGUACUAGAGAGCAGAGCUGGAAGAGUUUGAAGAAUUUGAAUUAUCAGAUAGAAAAAGGAAAAAUAGUUUUACCUUUUGUUGAGUUUUUAUUUUUUAUUACAUCAUGAAACUUCUUAAUGGGUUGUAUAAUUCCAAUUACUUUUUUUGUAAUGAUGUGAUGAUAUGCAAUUUGGUCUAAUUUUGA